rnacentral:rRNA from 1 species
GAUGAACGUUGGCGGCGUGCCUAAUACAUGCAAGUCGAACGGAGAAUUUGAUGUAGCAAUACAUUGAAUUUCUUAGUGGCGAACGGGUGAGUAACGCGUUGGUGACCUACCCCAAAGAGCGGGAUAACGGUUUGAAAAGACCGCUAAUACCUCAUGUGAUCAUAUGGAUUAGAAGCCUAAUGAUUAAAGGAGCUUGCUCCGCUUCGAGAGGAGCCUGCGUCCCAUCAGCUAGUUGGUAGGGUAACGGCCUACCAAGGCAAUGACGGGUAGGGGACCUGAGAGGGUGGCCCCCCACAAUGGAACUGAAACACGGUCCAUACACCUACGGGUGGCAGCAGUAGGGAAUAUUAGAAAUGGGCGGAAGCCUGAUCUAGCAACACCGCGUGUGCGAUGAAGGCCUUCGGGUCGUAAAGCACUUUUUGGAGGGAAUAGGAAGGAAGGUACCUCCAGAAUAAGUCUCGGCUAACUACGUG